rnacentral:pre_miRNA from 14 species
CCUUUGGUGUAAGGAUUGUGUCAUAAAUGUCCUAUGUCCCACUUUGGGAUGAAAGACCCCCGGGGCGGGGAGACCCUCACUCAAGUCUCGGGAUGAUGCGACCCCCCAAGAACUCACCUGAGACC